UCCGGGGUAGCGCAGCGGUAGCGCAGUUGCCUGUUAAGCAAUUGGUCGCGGGUUCGAAUCCCGCCCCCGGAGCCA
rnacentral:tRNA from 1 species